rnacentral:pre_miRNA from 1 species
GUAAGGAAGAGGAAGAAAAUGAGCACCUAAGAACAUUGGGCAUGGAAACAUAGAGGAAAGCCUAGAUUGGCGAUACCCUCAAUAAUUUGGUAGCAAUAUCUUUCCGAGUUUUCCCAAUGCCUCUCGUGCUCACUCUUCUUAUGCGUUCCUUCAUCUUCCCUUUGACU